AGAGUACGUGAAACUGCUUAGAGGUUAAACCCGAUGAACCUGAAUAUCCAUUAUGGAAAAUUCAUCACUAAUAAUAUGAUAUUUAUAAUAUUAUAUAAAUAGUGUGCAAUUUUUCCAUAUAAGGACAUUGUAAUCUGUUAAUGUAAUAAAUAUUUAUCAUAAGAUCCAUUACUUAAGUUUAUUCGAAUUAGUUAUUUUCGGAUUUCUAACAUAGGAUAAAUGUUUUGGAUUUGAUAAAUCAUUGACAGAUAUAAUUAUAUAAUGUGCUUAAAUUUUUCGGAAUUUUAUCAAUGGUAGAUGAAUCUAAUGAUUUGUUUAUUUAAUUGUAUGCACUAUUAUGAUUAACAAUGCGAUAGAUUCAGGAUACCUUCGGGACCCGUCUUGAAACACGGACCAAGGAGUCUAACAUAUGUGCAAGUCAUUGGGUAUUUUUAAUAAAACCCAAUGGCGUAAUUAACUUAACUGUUAUAUAAUGGGAUUAGUUUAUAUUUUGUUAUGAAAUAUUAAUUCAAUCCCGGGGCGUUCUAUAUAGUUAUGUAUAAUAGUAUUUAUAUUAUUUAUGCCUCUAACUCGAGCGUACCUUGAGCAUAUAUGCUGUGAC
rnacentral:rRNA from 1 species